UACGGAGGGGGCAAGCGUUAUUCGGAAUUAUUGGGCGUAAAGGGUGCGUAGGCGGCUAGAUGUGUCAAAGGUGAAAUCCCCCGGCUCAACUGAGGAACUGCCUUUGAAACUGUCUGGCUUGAGGCCGGGAGAGGGUAGCGGAAUUCCCAGUGUAGCGGUGAAAUGCGUAGAUAUUGGGAGGAACACCAGUGGCGAAGGCGGCUACCUGGACCGGUUCUGACGCUGAGGCGCGAAAGCGUGGGUAGCAAACAGG
rnacentral:rRNA from 1 species